rnacentral:rRNA from 1 species
GGGUCAGUAGGUUGGUCGUGCCACCGGUACGUACUGGUCUCACUGAUUCCUCCUUCCUGAAGAACCGUAAUGCCGUUAAUUUGGUGUUGCGGGGAAACAGGACUGUUACUUUGAAAAAAUUAGAGUGUUUAAAGCAAGCUAACGCUUGAAUACAUUAGCAUGGAAUGAUGAAAUAGGACGAUCGAUCCUAUUUUGUUGGUUUCUAGGAUUGACGUA